UAUUUGCUUUUAGACCAAUUACUUAUAGAACAUGGAGAAUAAAAUCACAAGAUAAUAAAAUAAGCAGUAUUUCAGGCUGUGAAACAAACGAAAAGGUACAGCAAUAGGGCUGGUGUUGCAUACUUCCUAUGUGCUGUAGUUUCCAGGCACAAAUUGAGAACUGACAGUUUAGUUUCUUUAGACCUCAUGGGUUUAAGAUAAAGCUCAUAUUUUCCCAAAUGCUUGAUA